CAAGUCGAACGAGAAAGUUCCCUUCGGGGAGCGAGUAAAGUGGCGCACGGGUGAGUAACACGUAGGUAAUCUACCUUCGGGUGGGGAAUAACGCAGGGAAACUUGCGCUAACACCGCAUAAUGCAGCGGCACCACAUGGUGACAGUUGUUAAAGCGGGGGAUUUUAGGACCUCGCGCCUGAAGAGGAGCCUGCGGCGGAUUAGCUAGUUGGUAGGGUAACGGCUUACCAAGGCGACGAUCCGUAACCGGCCUGAGAGGGCGGUCGGUCACACUGACACUGACAUACGGGUCAGACUCCUACGGGAGGCAGCAGUCGGGAAUUUUGGGCAAUGGGCGAAAGCCUGACCCAGCAACGCCGCGUGAAGGAUGAAAUCCCUCGGGAUGUAAACUUCGCAAGAAUGGGAAGAAUUAGUAGGGGCUAAUACCCCCUAUGAUGACGGUACCAUUUGUAAGCUCCGGCUAACUCCGUGCCAGCAGCCGCGGUAAUACGGGGGGAGCAAGCGUUGUUCGGAUUUACUGGGCGUAAAGGGCGCGUAGGCGGUCAGCACAAGUCAGUUGUGAAAUCUCCGGGCUUAACUCGGAAAGGUCAACUGAUACUGUGCGACUAGAGUGCAGAAGGGGCAACUGGAAUUCUCGGUGUAGCGGUGAAAUGCGUAGAUAUCGAGAGGAACACCUGCGGCGAAGGCGGGUUGCUGGGCUGACACUGACGCUGAUGCGCGAAAGCCAGGGGAGCGAACGGGAUUAGAUACCCCGGUAGUCCUGGCCUUAAACGAUGGAUGCUUGGUGUCUGGAGUUUUAUAGUCUCCGGGUGCCGUAGCUA
rnacentral:rRNA from 1 species